UACAGAGGGUGCAAGCGUUAAUCGGAAUUACUGGGCGUAAAGCGCACGUAGGCGGUUUUUUAAGUCAGAUGUGAAAGCCCCGGGCUCAACCUGGGAAUUGCAUUUGAAACUGGGAAACUAGAGUGUGUGAGAGGGGGGUAGAAUUCCAAGUGUAGCGGUGAAAUGCGUAGAGAUUUGGAGGAAUACCAGUGGCGAAGGCGGCCCCCUGGCACAACACUGACGCUCAGGUGCGAAAGCAUGGGGAGCAAACAGG
rnacentral:rRNA from 1 species